GGCGCUAUAGUGUAGUGGUUAUCACUUGGGAUUCUGACCCUUGUAUUCCCAAAACCCAGGUUCGAGCCCUGGUAGCGCCU
rnacentral:tRNA from 1 species